rnacentral:lncRNA from 1 species
AUUCACAUUUGUAUUAUGUUAAAAUAAUGUCACCCGUUUGCCAACCUAUAAUGGCAUCAGUAAUCAAAUAUACAUAAUUGAUUUUUAACAUGAAUCUUAAUGGUCUACAUUACUUAUAUGUGUACACAAGCAUAAGACUCUUGACUAUCAGUGGAGUGACCUUGGGUGAAGGUACAGCUACUGAGAUGCCAAAGUACCUACCAAGAAGAUGAGCAUACGUGGACAACUCAAUCUAGGUCCCAACUGCCUCCGAAUCUGAAAACAUGAAGCUUAAUAGAGUGAGUAUAAAACUCAAUGAGUGAACAUAAGAAGGGAACAAGCAACAGAUAUGGAAAGAUUUUGAAAACAUGAUGCACUUUUGUUAAAAACAAUGAAAUUUGGUUUAAUUUUUUGUAAAACCCCAUAAUUCAACCUUUGAUUAUUAAAUCCCUUAGUGUUGAAAGAUCCAUGAUAAACCAUGAAGUUGAAAAGAAUGAAAGUUUCAGCAUAUGUCCAAGCAAGACAAGCAAAACAAAGGGUUUCUCGUUACAGUGAAAAGGAAUUCUUGGUUGCAUAUGUUUUGGUUUUCAAGCAUAUCUUCCACUACAGAAGUCUAAUUGACAUGAUUUUUAGAUCAUUAGAAAGAUAAGAGGCUGGUCUAUAACUUUGAUGUUUACCACUUUGCCCAGUUAUGAUCAGAAGAUGGUCAAAAUCAUUAUCAAAGUGAAAGCAUUACACCACAAUUUUGGAACCACCCGAGAGUUUUUUGCUACAACAAGAAUCCAUUCUCGCUGCAUCGAAAUUCAGAGCAUGGAUUAAGGCUGCCUACGCCAGAGUUUCUCGCUACAACAAAAAUGAAUCUCGUUGCAGUGAGAAAUAGAGCAAUUUAGUUGAAGGGGUCUUGUUACAUCAAGAUGCCAUUUUCUUGCUGAAAUGAAAAGCAAUUUGGGAGCAAUUAACAAUGCCAACAUACAACAAAUUCACAAAUAUUUUCAUAAACUUUCUAUAACAUAUAUAUAUAUAUAUAUAUAUAUAUAUAUAUAUAUAUAUAUACAUACAUCAUCAUGCAUACCAUCUCGCCACACACAGCUCAUGUGCACUCCCUACUCGCACAUAGCCGGGUCAUCAUCAGCUCAUGUGCACUCCCACACCGCACAUAGCUAGGUCAUCAUCAACUCAUAUGCACUCCCACACCGUACAUAAUUGGGUCAUUAUUAUCACACAAAAGGAACAUCCAAAGCAUAAUAUACAUAUCAAUAUAAUGUGAUAAUGCAUGAACUAUUCAUAUUGCACAUUUCACAAGAUAGAAACAUUUCAUCAAGGGCUUGUUCCCUAAGUAUAUUUUUUUAAAGCAAAAAUAAAUGAAACUUUCAAAUGAUUUUUUUAAACAUGUAGGCACUUCCCAAAACAUUUUGAAAUGCAAGUUCACUCACCUUACGAUAGCGGGAUAUUAUAUCGCUAUUUGUUCGGAGGCAUAUCUAGCUAUUCCUACUUGCUGGUUGCUUGUUAUUGCCCCCAGCACACCACCACCAUACGCUAACUUUACUUUUGCACUUCCUUUAUGGUUGCUUAACCCGUACUUGCACUCAAAUAUUACUUCAAAACAUUAAUCAUCAAGUUUAGCUUGCUUGAAUUAUAAAACCAAGCUUUUCUUCCUUUCUUUCUUUUUCUUUCUUCUUCUUCUAGGGUUUAGAUGUGCUGAAAAUUAGGGUUAGAAGCUAUAGGUUUAGUGCCCAAGAAGUUUGGAGAAGAAAGAAGUCAGAAAAGAAAGGAAAUGAAAAGAAACAAGGGAAAUCACAUGAAAAAAUUUGAUUUUCAUGAACUUGAAAUGAAAAUGGCGUUGGAAGCUUCAAGAAGAAGAAGAA